GUUGGAGGUAUGCCCUAGAGGCAAUCAUAGAAAUGAUGAUAUUCCAUUUGUAUCCAUGAUUUAUAUUGUGUUCCUUGAAUAUCCAUUAAAGGCUACUUGAAUUGAUUUGCAAUUAUGUGAAUUGUGUGUCAAACUCUUUACUUGUAUGGUUAUUCUAAAGUUGUCCCUAGUCGGAGUUCAUGUGAGGACACACAUGAAUAUUAGACUAGCACAUGUAUUAGUUGAUGACUA
rnacentral:lncRNA from 1 species